rnacentral:lncRNA from 1 species
ACGAUACAUUGCAUCCUUGGGAUCAUGAUGCACCCUUUGGUCAUUGGUACCCUUUGUUCCUCGUACCCUUUGAUACUUGCAACCCUUUGUAUCUCGUACCUUUUGGUUACUUGCAUCCUUUGGUGUCUCACAACCUUUGGUAACUCAUGACCCUUGGCAACACGCAACCUUUGGCGACUAGUACUGUUUUGAUCCAACCUUUCGGCUAUGGGUAGCAAUCAACGUAACCAACCAUGAU